UACAGAGGGUGCGAGCGUAAAUCGGAAUUACUGGGCGUAAAGCGUGCGUAGGUGGUGAGUUAAGUCUGAUGUGAAAUCCCCGGGCUCAACCUGGGAAUGGCAUUGGAUACUGGCUCGCUAGAGUGCGGUAGAGGGUGGUGGAAUUCCCGGUGUAGCAGUGAAAUGCGUAGAGAUCGGGAGGAACAUCUGUGGCGAAGGCGGCCACCUGGACCAACACUGACACUGAGGCACGAAAGCGUGGGGAGCAAACAGG
rnacentral:rRNA from 1 species